UCUGUAGAUGGUCGUAUUUGUACCUAAAAGUUGUUUGUUUGACUUUUUUUUGCUUAGAUUUUUUUAAAUGUAGCCGGUGGGACCAAUGGGUGUAGCGAACUUUUAUUUUGAUUCACCUCUGUCACCUUUCUCCUGUGUGUACGUCACUAGUAGGGGCUUGGGCUGGGUUCCAAUUAGUUUAGUGCGAACAGGCAUAGAUAUAUACACCUUGGGUCCUUAUGCCGGUAGCCAUCCAUUGCUGAUUGUGGAGUGAAGCCGCGUUUUGGAGCGUUGUCUUCAGCGACACGCGUGUUAUAGAGCGGAUGCCAACAGGAACGAGUUGAGCGUCUUCCCUACCAACUGCAAUCCAUAUCCCGUUUACAUGCAUCGCAACGUGUUAAGUAGCAGUCAGUGUAUCAGUGCGGUGGUUAUUGUGGUUGCUGGCCGCAUAUAGAUACCAGGUGCAUGACGUUCUCGGGUGCAGCUGUUUAGACAGCGAAGGUACGUUUUGUCUAUGCCUACAGCACACUUGCUAACAUACCACUGCUUUGGGUCCUUGCAGUAAAUAGCCUCUAGUGGUUUCUGUUUAAGGUUACCUGCUCAUCUGAAUCCUGUUUGAAUGAGUGUAUGCUUCGAGUGUAAGCCAGCUGUGUUUGCAAACACUUAAACUUGUACUCUGUUUGUUCCUGUCUUAUAGAAGCUAUUGAAGCACACAGCUAGACGGCAUUGUUAGCUGCUGUUCUCUUCCAGUUAGUUAUAGGUCCGGGUGCUGCUUUUAGAAUAUAUGUAUCUCUGUUUUCCCCUCUAGCCUGGGGGCCUAGGUGUGUAUAUGUGGUUAAGAGGAUAUUGUGAGCCACAGGUUAGAGGGUUUAUUUUUGUUUGUUUGUUUCAUUAAUUUGUUAUCUGUUUCCCCUGUGUCAUCUCCCCUGCCGCAAUAGCCUGGGUAUCGUUUGGGGCCCUAGCCUAGAUUACAGGUUGGCCAGGUUUUCCUCUAAGAUAGUUUCUCACCUUUGAUAAGAUGUGCAGUGUAAUGCAGUGAAGUGUGAACCCCUUUUUCUUAAUGUGCCCAAGUGGUGCGCUUGCGGUGGUGUGGCCAAUGAGCUAGUAGUGUGUGCUCUCCUUCACAUGUGGUAUUGGAGGCAGGCCCCUGUUAGUCUGUGUGGUCAGUGGCUCCGGAUUCUUACCCAACGGCUGGGGCAUUCCCCUGAAGUCCAUUUAAUGUAUUUAUGUAUUUAUUUAUUGACAACCAAAGUGACACCUUGUUUUAACGAGAAACAAAAUUAAACCUAAUCUUUCAUAUCUUUCCAAAGAACCUGUGUCGGACCAUUAUUGGGACGGAGUUCCCCUUGCUCUCUAUUAUAGCUCAAGGGGUGGCGUAGUCUGGUGAGAGGCUGGCCAGGGCUACAUAAAGUUACCGAGAAAUAGACACUGUACAAUGUAAAAACCCCUUUAUUGUAACUGAAAAAUACGUCUG